rnacentral:rRNA from 1 species
UCGGGAAUUUUGGGCAAUGGGCGAAAGCCUGACCCAGCAACGCCGCGUGAAGGAUGAAGUAUUUCGGUAUGUAAACUUCGAAAGAAUAGGAAGAAUAAAUGACGGUACUAUUUAUAAGGUCCGGCUAACUACGUGCCAGCAGCCGCGGUAAUACGUAGGGACCAAGCGUUGUUCGGAUUUACUGGGCGUAAAGGGCGCGUAGGCGGCAAUUCAAGUCAUCUGUGAAAUCUCCGGGCUUAACUCGGAACGGUCAGAUGAUACUGCUUUGCUAGAGUGCAGAAGGGGCAAUCGGAAUUCUUGGUGUAACGGUGAAAUGCGUAGAUAUCAAGAGGAACACCUGAGGUGAAGACGGGUUGCUGGGCUGACACUGACGCUGAGGCGCGAAAGCCAGGGGAGCAAACGGGAUUAGAUACCCUGGUAGUCCCUGAGCGGGCUGGCAAGGCGCAU